rnacentral:rRNA from 1 species
AAUCAACGCUGGCGGCGUGCCUCAGACAUGCAAGUCGAACGCGAAAGUCCCCUUCGGGGGAGUGAUUAGAGUGGCGCACGGGUGAGUAACACGUAGGUAAUCUACCUUCGAGUGGGGAAUAACUCAGGGAAACUUGAGCUAAUACCGCAUAAUGCAGCGGCACCACAUGGUGACAGUUGUUAAAGCAUUUAUGCGCUUGAAGAGGAGCCUGCGGCGGAUAGCUAGUUGGUAAGGUAAUGGCUUACCAAGGCUACGAUCUGUAACCGGCCUGAGAGGGCGGACGGUCACACUGACACUGAAUAACGGGUCAGACUCCUACGGGAGGCAGCAGUCGGGAAUUUU